rnacentral:pre_miRNA from 1 species
GUAACAUUUGGAGCGUUGGCUUACUGAGCAAUUUCACCCGCUCGGUGGAAGAUCUUCCCUUUAUCGU